AUGUUUUCAUACCAUUAGUCGCUCACACAGCUCCCAAGCCUAUAAUCUUUGCCAAAUUUCGCCAUAAUUCCACCUUUUAAGUCCAAUUGCCACGCCACCACAACUAAACACAAAACAAGUAAAAACAAAACAUAAAAAUAAAGAAUUAACACAGUUUAAGCUCGAAUUAGAGGUUAAUUCGUAGGUAUAAAACCCACUCGUCAAACUCUCCCAAACUUAAACACGUGUUAGUCCUCGAGCACGAAACAAAACAAAAAUGUUAUUCAAUGCAAUGUAAUGAAACUAGUCUAUAUGCCUACGAAUCCGGUAGUAAUGACAGAGACAAGUCUAUUUAACUAACCUCAGGGAAAUCAAAUAAACAUGACAAUACUUCAUAUCAAAACCAAUCAACAAUUUCCUAGUCAAUUAUUAAAUCUUAAACUGUUAUUAUUGGUAUAGUGUGUGUGCUCAACAUCCAUGCUAACUGAUAUAGUGCAAAAUACAAUACAUAAUAGAUCUCUUUAAAGGCAUCAUACAAUGUAAACUCACAAAAUUUACGAACAAGCUAAAUCCAACUAAAUUCAAACAUUCAC
rnacentral:lncRNA from 1 species